rnacentral:rRNA from 1 species
ACGGGAGGCAGCAGUGAGGAAUAUUGGUCCAUGGACGGAAGUCUGAACUAGCCAAGUCGCGUGCAGGAUGACGGUCCUAUGGAUUGUAAACUGCUUUUGUUCGGGAAUAAAGUUCAGGACGUGUCCUGUUUGGAAUGUACCGUAAGAAUAAGGGUCGGCUAAUUCCGUGCCAGCAGCCGCGGUAAUACGGAGGACCCGAGCGUUAUCCGGAUUUAUUGGGUUUAAAGGGUGCGCAGGCGGAGGAUUAAGUGAGCGGUGAAAUUCUCAUGCUCAACAUGAGAACUGCCAUUGAUACUGGUACCCUUGAGAGAUGUCGAGGAUGGCGGAAUGUGAUGUGUAGCGGUGAAAUGCUUAGAUAUGUCACAGAACACCGAUUGCGAAGGCAGCUGUCCAGAGAUCAUCUGACGCUGAGGCACGAAAGCGUGGGUAUCAAACAGGAUUAGAUACCCUGGUA